rnacentral:rRNA from 1 species
CCCUACUGCUAUCGGGGUGGGACUAAGACAUGCGAGUUGAGCGUCUCUAAGCCAUGGUAGAGACGCAGCGUACGGCUCAGUAACACGUGGCUAGCCUACCCUUAGGACGGGGACAACCCCGGGAAACUGGGACUAAUACCCGAUAGGUGAGGAGGCCUGGAAUGGUUCUUAGUCGAAAAGGCGUUGAAACCAUGCUUUUCGACGUCGCCUAAGGAUGGGGCCGCGUCCGAUCAGGUUGUUGGUGGGGUAACGGCUCACCAAGCCUUUAACCGGUACGGGCCGUGAGAGCGGGAGCCCGGAGAUGGGCACUGAGACAAGGGCCCAGGCCCUACGGGGCGCAGCAGUCGCGAAAACUCCGCAAUGCGCGAAAGCGUGACGGGGCUACCCCGAGUGCCGUCCGCUGAGGAUGGCUUUUCCCCGGUGUAAUGAGCCGGGGGAAUAAGGAGAGGGCAAGACUGGUGUCAGCCGCCGCGGUAAUACCAGCUCUCCGAGUGGUAGGGAUGAUUAUUGGGCUUAAAGCGUCCGUAGCCGGCUUAGCAAGUCUCCUGUUAAAUUCAGCGACCUAAUCGUUGAGCCGCGGGAGAUACUACUAGGCUAGGAGGCGGGAGAGGCCGACGGUAUUCUCGGGGUAGGGGUGAAAUCCUAUAAUCCCGGGAGGACCACCAGUGGCGAAGGCUGUCGGCUAGAACGCGCUCGACGGUGAGGGACGAAAGCUGGGGGAGCGAACCGGAUUAGAUACCCGGGUAGUCCCAGCCGUAAACGAUGCGGGCUAGGUGUUGGGGUGGCUACGAGCCACUUCAGUGCCGCAGGGAAGCCAUUAAGCCCGCCGCCUGGGGAGUACGGCCGCAAGGCUGAAACUUAAAGGAAUUGGCGGGGGAGCACCACAAGGCGUGAAGCUUGCGGUUC